rnacentral:rRNA from 1 species
AUUGAACGCUGGCGGCAUGCCUAACACAUGCAAGUCGAACGAGUGGCGGACGGGCGAGUAAUUGCUGGGAAACUGCCUGAUGGAGGGGGAUAACUACUGGAAACGGUGGCUAAUACCGCAUACGAUCGUAUCGGCCCAGAUGGGAUUAGCUAGUAGGUGGGGUAAAGGCUCACCUAGGCGACGAUCCCUAGCUGGUCUGAGAGGAUGACCAGCCACACUGGAACUGAGACACGGUCCAGACUCCUACGGGAGGCAGCAGUGGGGAAUAUUGCACAAUGGGCGCAAGCCUGAUACAGCAAUGCCGCGUGUAUGAAGAAGGCCUUCGGGUUGUAAAGUACUUUCAGCGGGGAGGCGUUACCCGCAGAAGAAGCACCGGCUAACUCCGUGCCAGCAGCCGCGGUAAUAC